rnacentral:rRNA from 1 species
CCUCAAGAUUAGAUAUCCCUUCCGGUGGAGACACCGGAACUAAAGACCCAUCGAAGACUACGAUGUUGAUAGGCCGGAUGUGUAAGCGUAGUAAUACGUUCAGCUUACCGGUACUAAUCGGUCGUGCGGCUUGGCCAU